AUUGAACGCUGGCGGCAGGCCUAACACAUGCAAGUCGAGCGGAUGAAGGGAGCUUGCUCCUGGAUUCAGCGGCGGACGGGUGAGUAAUGCCUAGGAAUCUGCCUGGUAGUGGGGGAUAACGUCCGGAAACGGGCGCUAAUACCGCAUACGUCCUGAGGGAGAAAGUGGGGGAUCUUCGGACCUCACGCUAUCAGAUGAGCCUAGGUCGGAUUAGCUAGUUGGUGGGGUAAAGGCCUACCAAGGCGACGAUCCGUAACUGGUCUGAGAGGAUGAUCAGUCACACUGGGAGUGAGAAAAGGUGAAGACUAAGAGAGGAGGAAGAAGUGGGGAAUAGUGGAAAAUGGGAGAAAGGAUGAGCAAGAAAUGCAGAGUGAGUGAUGAAGGAAUUAGGGAAGGAAAGCUCUUGUACCAGAGACGAUAAUGACAGUAUCGGGAGAAGAAGAUCCGGAUAACUCCGUG
rnacentral:rRNA from 1 species